rnacentral:lncRNA from 1 species
UAGACUCAAAACACUAAAUUAGAAAUUAGAAAGCGAUGAAGAUAGAUACGGCUGAUUAUAGACAUGAUUAAUUCCUUGCAAGGUACUUGCCACCAGAUCUCGUCCUACGUUAUUGCUUUGACGAGUCUAAAGUCUCGCCAUAUGCUAAAAUAUGGGAAGUAGCCAUCUAAUAGCCUGGCGUGGAGGACGUUGCUAGUUAUAUACAUUGACAUAA